rnacentral:rRNA from 1 species
GAUGAACGCUGGCGGCGUGCCUAAUACAUGCAAGUAGAACGAUGAAGGGGGAGCUUGCUCUUCUGGAUGAGUUGCGAACGGGUGAGUAACGCGUAGGUAACCUGCCUGGUAGCGGGGGAUAACUAUUGGAAACGAUAGCUAAUACCGCAUGACAACAGUUAUUGCAUGAUAACUGUUUGAAAGGGGCAACUGCUCCACUACUAGUUGGACCUGCGUUGUAUUAGCAAGUUGGUGAGGUAACGGCGCAACAAGGCGACGAUACAUCGUCGACCUGAGAGGGUGAUCCGGCCAACUGGGAAUGAGACACCGCCCAGGCUCCUUCGGGAGGGAGCAGUAGGGAAUCUUCCGGAAUGGACGGAAGGCUUAACGGAGAAAGGCGGCUGAGGGGAGGAGGGUCUCCGAUCGGUAAGCUCUGUUGUAAGAGAAGAAAGAGUGUGGGAGUGGAAAGUGCACACCGUGACGGUAUCUAACCAGAAAGGGACGGCUAACUACGUG